UGGGCGUGCGAUCGAGAGCAGGAACCAAGGGAAGAGCCAAAACCCUAAUGACCAAAAAUCAUCAAAUUGAAAAGGAGAUCAAGGGCAAAUCGAAUGCAUGGGUUUAGAUACUCUUUAAUCUAAGUGUAUUGAUCAUAAGAUUGUAUGAAUUUGAGUCUGAGUCAUGUCAACAUGAGCACAAAUAAGGAAGUGCCACGGAUAGAAGGUAAACACGGAAGCUAAGUGCAAAUUCGGACGCACGAGGUAUGAAAUCGUCGGGUUCAUGAGGAAUUGAAGCCGGACUUGGAUUAAGAGUAUUUAAGAGAAUGCUUGGAUAAUUCCAUGCUUACAUUAUGGAAUGCUAUGCGAAUUUCAAUUAUAUAGUAUAAUGUUGUAUAGUGAGAUAAUGACUAAUGGUUAAGUCGUAUAUGAUGUCCACAGGUAUCACACGGAUUUCCUCUACCACUAACGAAGAUAAGCGGGCGUAGAUCGAGUCAAAGAACAAGGAUUGUACGGAUAGGACGGCCACCUAGCUUGAAUUAUGUAACGCGCCUUGAAGUAUUAAUUUAAGUAUGAACGUUGUUAAUUCUUUCUAGUAAAAGUUUGCCAUUUUUGUAACUAAGCCUUUUCGUAAGUAAUGUCGU
rnacentral:lncRNA from 1 species